CUUCGUUCUGGAUUUUUUGCUCCUCUGGGAUGGGGGAAGGGGGUCUCUCUCCUUCCUCCCACACAGGCCCAUCACCCUCUGCAGGAGCAGAUUGCGCAUCAGCAGACGGAAACACAGAAUCACGACUUUUCAGCACCUUUGAGCCAUUAGUGGCCUGUUGACCAAAAAACAACCGUAGUUGUAUAACUCAAUGCGAGAAAAUAUAAUAUGAGGAAAAA